GCCAGGUGUGGUGGCUCACUCCUGUAAUCCCAGCAUUUGGGAGGCUGAGGCGGGUGGAUCACUUGAGGUCAGGAGUUUGAGACCAGCCUGACCAACAUGGAGAAACCCCGUCUCUA
ensembl:misc_RNA Metazoa_SRP Metazoan signal recognition particle RNA